rnacentral:rRNA from 1 species
UACGUAGGGUGCAAGCGUUAAUCGGAAUUACUGGGCGUAAAGCGUGCGCAGGCGGUUGUUUAAGUCAGCUGUGAAAUCCCCGGGCUCAACCUGGGAAUGGCAGUUGAGACUGGACGGCUGGAGUGUGUCAGAGGGGGGUAGAAUUCCACGUGUAGCAGUGAAAUGCGUAGAGAUGUGGAGGAAUACCGAUGGCGAAGGCAGCCCCCUGGGAUAACACUGACGCUCAUGCACGAAAGCGUGGGGAGCAAACAGG